CUGCGGCCUGCCCGUGGAGCCUGUCGUGGGGAGUGGAGCGACGUCCGUUGUCGCGACUUGCCAGAGGGUGGAGGAACUGUGCCGUAUCCAUCGCAGGAAGUGGAGCAGAAUCGUGGCCAUCACCAGGACAUGCCACGUGGGGAGUGAUGGAGCCGCGCAGAAUCCGUCACAGGAAGUGGAGCAGAGUUGUGGCUGUUACUGCAGCCUACCAGGGAGUGGUGGAGCCACGUGGAAUCUAUCGCAGGAAGUGGAGCAGAGUCGUGGCCGUUACUACGGCCUGUUAGGGAGUGGCGGAGCCGCACGGAAUCCAUCGCAGGAAGUGGAGCAGAGCUGUGGCCGCUACUGCGGCCUGCCAGGGGGUCCAGGCGUGUUGGCCAAAGUUCGAUUGAGGCGUCUGGCGGAGAAAGGUGGCUAGCUGUUCAUCAGAGAGGAGUUCGGAUGCUGCAAAUCCUGUUGAGUGCCUUGGGCGUUAAAGCGGCAGGCGAGGACCGCUUGUCGUAGAAGCUCGGAGUUCGGCCCCCAUAGGAGCCCGGACGAAGUCUUCCCGCAGCCGGAGUCAGGGACGAGAUCCGGCUCCCGUAGAAAUCCGGACGAAGUCUGCCCGCAAUUGAAGUCGGAGAUGAAGUUCGGCUCCCGUAGGAGUCCGGACGGAGUCCUCCUGCAGUCGAAGUAGCCCUGCUGUUGAAGUCGAGGACGAAGUCCGGCUCCCGUAGGAGUUCGAACGGAGUCUACCUGCAGUCGAAGUCGCCCUGUUGUUGAAGUCGGGGAUGAAUUCCGGCUCCCAUAGGAGUCCGGAUGGAGUCUACCUGCAGUCGAAGUCGCCCUGCUAUUGAAGUCGAGGAUGAAGUCCAGCUCCUGUAGGAGUCCGGAUGGAGUCUACCUGCGGUCGAAGUCGCCCUGCUGUUGAAGUCGAGGACGAAGUCCGGCUUCCGUAGGAGUCCAGACGGAGUCUACCUGCGGUCGAAGUCGCCCUGCUGUUGAAGUCGAGGAUGAAGUCCGGCUCCCGUAGGAGUCCGGACGGUGUCUACCUGCAGUCGAAGUCACCCUGCUGUUGAAAUCGAGGAUGAAGUCCGGCUUCCGUAGGAGUCCAGACGGAGUCUACCUGCGGUCGAAGUCGCCCUGCUGUUGAAGUCGAGGACGAAGUCUGGCUCCCGUAGGAGUCCGGACGGAGUCUACCUGCAGUCGAAGUCGGGGACAAAAUUUGGCUUCCGUGGGAGUCCGGACGGAGUCUACUGCAGUCGAAGUCGGGGAUGAAGUCCGACUCCCGUGGAAGUCCGGAAGGAGUCUACCUGUGGUUGAAGUCGAGGACGAAGUCCGGCUCCUGUAGGAGUCUGGACGGAGUCUACCUGCAGUCGAAGUUGCCCUGCUAUUGAAGUCGAGGAUGAAGUCCGGCUCCCGUAGGAGUCGGACGGAGUCUACCUGC
rnacentral:lncRNA from 1 species